GACGAACGCUGGCGGCGUGCUUAACACAUGCAAGUCGAGCGGUAAGGCCCUUUCGGGGGUACACGAGCGGCGAACGGGUGAGUAACACGUGGGUGACCUGCCUUUAGCUCUGGGAUAAGCCUGGGAAACUGGGUCUAAUACCGGAUAUGACUCCAUGAUGCAUGUUGUGGGGUGGAAAGCCUUGUGCGGCUGGAGAUGGGCCCGCGGCCUAUCAGCUUGUUGGUGGGGUGANGGGCCUACCAAGGCGACGACGGGUAGCCGGCCUGAGAGGGCGACCGGCCACACUGGGACUGAGACACGGCCCAGACUCCUACGGGAGGCAGCAGUGGGGAAUCUUGCGCAAUGGGCGAAAGCCUGACGCAGCGACGCCGCGUGAGGGAUGACGGCCUGGU
rnacentral:rRNA from 1 species